rnacentral:rRNA from 1 species
GAUGAACGCUGGCGGCGUGCCUAAUACAUGCAAGUCGAGCGAACGGACGAGAAGCUGGCUUUUCUGAUGUUAUCGGCGGACGGGUGAGUAACACGUGGAUAACCUACCUAUAAGACUGGGAUAACAUCGGGAAACCGUAGCUAAUACCGGAUAAUUUUUUGAACCUCAUGGUUCAAAAGUGAAAGACGGUCUUGCUGUCACUUAUAGAUGGAUCCGCGCUGCAUUAGCUAGUUGGUAAGGUAACGGCUUACCAAGGCAACGAUGCAUAGACGACCUGAAAGGGAGAUCGGCCAGACUGGAAGUGAGACACGGUACACACUCCUACGGGAAGACGCAGUAGGGAAUCUUACGCAAUGGGGCAAAGCCUGACGGUGCAAAGCAGCGUAAGUGAUGAAGCUCUUAGGCUGGUAAAACUAUGUUAUUAGUGAAGAACAUAUGUGUAAGUAACUGUGAACAUCAUGACGGUACCGAAUCAGAAAGCCACGGCUAACUACGUG